ACUUACGAGUGGAAGCUUUCGGGUGGAAGCGAGUAAUGUUUAGUGGCGAACGGGUGAGUAACACGUGAAUAACCUACCCUGGAGUGGGGGACAACAUUUGGAAACAGAUGCUAAUACCGCAUAAGACCACGGAGCCGCAUGGCUCUGAGGCCAAAGGAGCAAUUCGCUCUGGGAUGGAUUCGCGCCUGAUUAGAUAGUUGGUGGGGUAAUGGCCUACCAAGUCGACGAUCAGUAGCCGGACUGAGAGGUUGAACGGCCACAUUGGGACUGAGACACGGCCCAGACUCCUACGGGAGGCAGCAGUGAGGAAUAUUGCACAAUGGACGAAAGUCUGAUGCAGCGACGCCGCGUGAGGGAAGAAGGUUUUCGGAUUGUAAACCUCUGUCUUCGGGGACGAUAAUGACGGUACCCGAGGAGGAAGCCACGGCUAACUACGUGCCAGCAGCCGCGGUAAAACGUAGGUGGCAAGCGUUGUCCGGAAUUACUGGGUGUAAAGGGAGCGCAGGCGGAUUGGCAAGUUGAAUGUGAAAACUGGGGGCUCAACCCCCAGACUGCGUUC
rnacentral:rRNA from 1 species